CGUAGGGUGCGAGCGUUGUCCGGAAUUAUUGGGCGUAAAGAGCUUGUAGGCGGUUUGUCGCGUCUGCGGUGAAAACUCACAGCUUAACUGUGGGCGUGCCGUGGGUACGGGCAGGCUAGAGUGUGGUAGGGGAGACUGGAAUUCCUGGUGUAGCGGUGAAAUGCGCAGAUAUCAGGAGGAACACCGAUGGCGAAGGCAGGUCUCUGGGCCAUAACUGACGCUGAGAAGCGAAAGCAUGGGGAGCGAACAGGAUU
rnacentral:rRNA from 1 species